rnacentral:rRNA from 1 species
UAACCUGCCCAAGAGAUCGGGAUAACACCUGGAAACAGAUGCUAAUACCGGAUAACAAUAGAUGAUGCCUAUCAACUGUUUAAAAGAUGGUUCUGCUAUCACUCUUGGAUGGACCUGCGGUGCAUUAGCUAGUUGGUAGGGUAACGGCCUACCAAAGGCGAUGAUGCAUAGCCGAGUUGAGAGACUGAUCGGCCACAUUGGGACUGAGACACGGCCCAAACUCCUACGGGAGGCAGCAGCC